rnacentral:rRNA from 1 species
ACGUGUCUCAGUCCGCUCCGACCGCGCCGCCCAGGGCGGGGACCGCCCACGUUCGAGGG